CAAUGCUGGCUGCCAAGAUGAAGAGGCAGUAAGGCCGAGGCUGCUUGCAACAGCAAAAGAGAGGCAUGAACAACUUCGCAGCCUUACGCUGUCAGAUGCUCUGUUGUUGUUCCCCUUUCUGGCAACUGAGGCAUCGCUUCUUGUGGAGUUUGACCUACUUUUCCAAAGAAACGUGAUGGAGGCAAUGGAGAAUGGCUGGAAGCAGCUUGGUUACACUAUUAUGAGCUUUGGAGAGGCAGAAGAGGUUGUGGCAUUUUCCGAAGUGGGAUCCGAGGAUGCUGUUCUGGCAGUUCUGCAGUUUGUAGCAAAGCGCUGCAAGGAGCCCAUAGACAGCAUCAUUACGCAGGUGAGUGCCUGUAGGAUUGUGACUAU
rnacentral:lncRNA from 1 species